UUGUGCGUAAUAUUAGUAUGCCCUAUUCUUAGCCUUCUUAGCAGUACUUCAUCUUUUCUUCGAAGAUGUGUAUAUGUCGUUCGAUUUAUCGUUUUUUCGAAAGUUUGUAGUACGGUCGCUUGUAGGUUCCAGUGCCUAUUCCAUUUUUGUUUGAGCUGGUUUUUGUAUUUUGCUUUUAGGUCGUUGGCCAGAAGAAAGGUCUUUACUAGUUGACAGCUAGUAGCACCAUCGCGCGCCGCAAAGUCGGCUUCUUCGUUGCCUUGUAUGUCGCAGUGUGAGGGAGUCCAUAUUAUUAUGAUGUCCACUGAUUUAUCUUUAAGUUUGGUGAUCGUUUCUUGGAUUUCUUGUAUGAUUGGAUUGCUGCUGUACAUUUGGUUUAUUGCAACGAUUGAUGAUAGACUGUCUGUGCAGAUGACUGCUUUUCUAAUGUUGACGGUAAGAGUUGGUAUGAUUUGGAUUGCUUUCUUUAUUGAAUAUAGUUCUGCUGUGAAUACGCUCGUAUCGUCGUUAAGUUUGUAAAUGUGUUUUAAGUCAUUUCCUACCACUGCGCAUGCUACUCCGGAAGAACUUCGUGAAGCGUCGGUAUACAAUGCUACGUCAUGUGGGUGUUUGUGUAAAAUUUCGCUGAAUAUUUGUUGUGUUUUAGCUGUUUCAUUUUUCUCGUAUGAACGCAUUGAGGAGUCUAUUGUAGGAAAGGUUAUGAGCCAUGGAGGGAUACUUGCUUUAUAGGUGUUGGUGCUGUGGACAAUUUGUAGAGAUGACGGGAGAAUGUUGUGUAUGAUAUAAUUUAUGGGGUGUGGUUGUUUUGGGAGUUGAUUUGAUUGUUCGAAUAAUAUUUUAUAUGAUGGUAGAUUAGGUAGGGCCGAUAUUUUUGAAAUAUAUGUUAAAGCGAUUUCUUCUCUUCUGAGCCACAACGGUGGCACUCCUGAUUCGCGGUAGAUACUUUCUACAGGGCUUGUACGGUGUGCUCCUAUGUUAGAUACCUACGCAUUCUUUUAUCCACAUUAAAAAAAAAUAAGUAUGGAGGGUUUAUACAAUCAUUAACUCACUAAUUCAUUAUCAUUUCAUUAAGGUAUACGCAAACCUACGCGGUCGCGGUGGCGGUAGCGGUGGCGAACGUGAGGCCGCACACUAGGGCGUUCAAUCCGCGAGAUCACAUGUUUUUUUACGCACACUACCAAUUGAUUUAAAUAUGGCAUUUGAAGUACGGGAUAGAUUUGUUUCUUUUUUUAAUGCCUAACAAUGUACUAAAACUAUAAACAAAUACACUUAUCUUGACCAGGUUUGUCCAGUAUCAUGGCCAAUUCAUCCCAUACCUUAUCUUUCUUUUUUAUAUUUUUAUACUCCUUACAUGUAACGUCGUAUAAAAUUGGAUUUCCUCUCACUAACUCAAUUAGUUGUUCUGUCAUUUUCUUUCGAGGCAUGCAGCGCGAACUGGCGGGCCAACUGUGAGUGCAGCGGUCGCCCGCCACCGCUCUAGAUCGCCGCGUUUGUUUGCUGCACUGAUCUCCACCGCCACCGCUUGAACGCUUCAGUAUGCGUUGCCUGUAUAAAGUGUGUGCAUUCUAUUGCCCGCCACCGCGUAGGUUUGCGUAAACCUUUAGUCAUUAAGCAAAACCUCAGUUUAUACAAUCGCUAAAUCAUUAAGAAAUAGCCAAUAGAAACAGUGGUCUUUGCACAUGCGAUUUACAACAUUUUGUACGUUCACCGCACUAACCUCAAUUUUCUUCUUCGAUUUCUAACCCUAUUUUUUAUAAUUUUUAUUGUCCGAUUUUGAUUUUUUUAAUAGCUUGUUAUUCUUAGCCUUCUUUUGCCUAAGAAGUAUGGAUCAGGUUGAAAUAUUUGCGACAUUUUUGGUAUUAACCAUGACGGCUUAUUUGCAUUUAAGAAAACAAAGAAUACGAAGGUAUAAAGUGCGGCCUAUAAACAGAGUACGUUUUUUGCAUGGACAUUUCCAUCAACGUGUCAGACAAAUGAGGGAAGUAGACCCGGAGCAAUAUUUUAAGUUUGUCAGAAUGACGCCUAAUAUGUUUGAUCAUUUACUGUCCAUACUCAAAACCGACUUGCAAAAGGAUCGAAGCAAGUUUCAUAUUUCACCUGCUGAACUGACAAUCGUCAGGGGGUUUAUGCAGAUGUUCAUACAAAGACGUCUAUUGAUUCCCACAAUCAUAUAUCGUUCUCUCACUUAUUAACACGUUUCGUCCUUAGUUUCUCGUUAACGACAUCAAGACUUCUUUAAUAUAUCGGUUCAAAUUUGCCCCGUAAUUAUUAGUUAACGUCAAGCGCGCACAUAAUGAUGCCAUCACGCUCAAAAAUUUCUAUAAAAAAAAAAUUCUGGACGCGAACCUAAGAUCAACAUUUUAAAUCAAACUUGUAUAAAACCACAAUAACCUCACGGUGGAACCGGGGGAAAAAAACGUGGUAAACAAAGCGGUGGUGAAUUCGUGCCAAAUGGAUUCGGCUUCCCAAAUAUUGAUCGAUGACAAUUUAAGUGUCAUCACAAUCAAUUCUGAUGAUCCAACGAUUGGGUAAGUAUACAAUAUUCUUUAUAUUUGAUAUCUUUUUGUGAGUGUACGUUAAAAGAGUAAUUGUUUUGCUUUGUUUUUUUUACAGAACAGGAAAUUUGGGUGUUAACUUUGAGCUAGAGACGCUUAUGGCGCAGCUAGAAGGGCAUCUUGCUGCAGACUGUCUUUUUGCUCCAGCUCUGCGAGUAUAUUAUCUGCCAAUAAAAAAAAAUGAACUAAUGCUUCAUACGAUAGCUCAAAUUUUUUUCUUUACCCUUUUCAGAAUGUCAACACCCCAAUUGUCUUAGCCGAUGCGAUCCCCUACACCGCCGCCGCCGCCAUCACCAAUACAACCAUCAACAGCAACAAUGGAGUCCUCAGUCGUAAAUAAAAAAGGCCAAAAACGACGACAUGGCUACGGCAAAGCAGGGAUGACCCAGGGGGUGGCCACAAUAAAAUCUUAUUGAGAUUGACCUAGAGGAAAGGGGAUUCCGCCCGGAAAGGCCCUUCUCGUCUCCAUCGUUUGCGGCGGCACCAAAGACAUCGAGAGAAUUGGCCCUGAAGACAUAUCAAUAUCAAUGUCCCCGAUCAUAGAACGAGAAGGAAAUUCACAAUGUUUGAAAUCCCUAGAGUACGUUCAAAAACGCAUGACAAUUCACCAAUUAACCGCAUGAUGACGUUGUACAAUGAUUUGCACAAAGUUCAAACGAACAACUUGCACUUGUUUGGCCUGUCUUUAUCGCAGUUUAAGGAAAAUUUAGUUUUAUGUUUAUAAAAAUAUUAUUUACUUACUUCACUUGUUUUUAUCAGAUAGUUACUUGUAUACGUAUUUUUUAGUCACAAUCAUUGUUCUCAAAACUUUAUAUGGAAUGUUAUUUCUGUUGUUUUGAGCAAACACCUAAAUAAAUAAAUAAAUAUGGGUGGUUAAAAAAUAUGGAACCGAUUUACCGGUCUAAAGUGAUGGACGCUCGCAAAUCACAACAGCAGACUUACAGCACCGGCUAGAUGCUUCUAUAAAAGAAGAAAAGCGGUUAGAGAAAGAGGUCCAAUUCAUUGACGAUUUCAUAAAAUUUGUAAAAAAAUAAUACGUGUAUACGUCAAUUAAUAAAGAGAUAAUCUGUUUAUUAA